rnacentral:rRNA from 1 species
AACGAACGCUGGCGGCAGGCCUAACACAUGCAAGUCGAGCGCUGUAGCAAUACAGAGCGGCGCACGGGAUAAUAACGCGUGGGAACCUACCAUAUGGUUCGGAAUAACAUCGGGAAACUGGUGCUAAUACCGGAUAAGCCCUUCGGGGGAAAGAUUUAUCGCCAUUAGAUGGGCCCGCGUAGAUUAGCUAGUUGGUGAGGUAACGGCUCACCAAGGCGACGAUCUAUAGCUGGUCUGAGAGGAUGAUCAGCAUCACUGGGACUGAGACACGGCCCAGACUCCUACGGGAGGCAGCAGUGGGGAAUAUUGGACAAUGGGGGAAACCCUGAUCCAGCCAUGCCGCGUGAAUGACGAAGGCCUUCGGGUUGUAAAGUUCUUUUGACGGGGACGAUGAUGACGGUACCCGUAGAAUAAGCUCCGGCUAACUUCGUGCCAGCCGCCGCAGUAA